rnacentral:rRNA from 1 species
UACGUAGGGGGCAAGCGUUGUCCGGAUUUAUUGGGCGUAAAGAGCGUGUAGGCGGCCAGGUAGGUCCGCUGUGAAAACUCGAGGCUCAACCUCGAGAUGUCGGCGGAAACCAUCUGGCUGGAGUCCGGAAGAGGAAAGUGGAAUUCCCGGUGUAGCGGUGAAAUGCGCAGAUAUCGGGAAGAACACCCGUGGCGAAGGCGGCUUUCUGGGACGGUACUGACGCUGAGACGCGAAAGCGUGGGGAGCGAACAGG